UGACCAAAAAAUAAAUAUAAAAAUAGAAAGUGUUUUAACAGCCACUUAACAGAAAAAUACAGUGGACAGUAAAAUUUUAAAAUAGUUUUUAGUCCAAUUCAUAAAUAAAUAUAAAUCAAAACAAUGACAAAAUAUCAUUUUCACUUUUCAAACUAGAAAAUAAUUAUUAAAACCAAGUAUUGGUGUAUAUUCAAGAAAGCAGGAAUUCUCAUGCAGUGUUGUUAGAAGUAUACAUUAGAAUAAUGUUUUUAAAGAAAGUUUUUUUUAAAGUUAUUAAAAUUUUAAUUAUGCAAAUAUAUCUAAGACAUUAUACUAUGUGUAUAUUAAAAUAAGGACAAGAUAUAUUUAGAAGGGUGUUUAUUGUAAUAUGUUUUGAAGACAGAAGAAAUUGAAAAUAACCAAGUGUCCAUAAAUUAGACUAUGGUUAAAUACAUUUUGCUAUACUCAUAAAAUGGAAAUACUAGGAAACUAUAAAAAAGAUGAUGUUCUAUAAUAUAGUAUAAAUUCUACAAAAUUUCUAAGAUACGGUAUUAAAAAGAAAGCAAAAUAAAACACAAAGAAAACUUGGAUGGUAUGAUUCCCUCUCGUUUUUAAAAUACAGAUAUAUUUUUGCAUUUGUACACUUGAAACUGUCUAUCUCUGGUAAUAGUAUUGUAAGUUGGUAAAGACAUACUUUCCAUUGGACAUCUUUGUGUACCAUUUUAUUUUAGAAAACUUUCAUCAUGUGCAUGCAUUUUAAAAAUAAAAAUAGUAAAAAAAAUUGCUCAGUGUAGUGGUAAAUGAUGAAAAAUGAAGUAAAAAAAUGGUGAAAAUGGAAGUAAAGAAUACAGGAAUAAUCAGUUCCUCACUGGGCACUUGUCUAAUCCUAUUCAACUUCACUGUGUUUCCAGCUCCUCUUCUGUAAAAUAGCUGAAUUACACUAAAAAAGAUAAUAUGUAAAUUUUCUUAUAGUUCUAACAAUUUGUAAUUUUAAUGUCAAUAAUUCAAUACAGAAUAGUGGGAAAAUAUUUUUGAGACUUAAAUAUAAGCAUCUAUUUUGAGCAUCUAUUUCUAUCACAAUGAAUAAAUUUCUAUUUGGUAUUUUGCAGACAGACUGAGGUCAUAUUGUUAGGAUGACAGGAAACAGCCUAUAUGAUGAACAUCUUAAUAAGAUAAAAAAACUAAAUAUUAUCUUAAAUACUAUACUCACUGUACAAGUAGUGCUUCUAGGUCUCAACAGUGUAGUUCUGCAAAGGUACUGAAACUAGAACAAAAUGUCAAAAUUGGUUUAUAAUUCAGGUAUAUAUUAUCACGAACACUCUUUAAUAGUUUGCGAUAUUCCCUAACAUUAUACUACAUGCUUACUAGUUAUAAACAGUAUUCAGUAACUUUUAAAUUUGUGGUAUUUGAGGCUUCAGUAUGAUAAUGGCCUUCUACUAUUGUGACAUAAUAUUCUUAACACUUGGAUAGUUGUUUUUAAAAGCAAAAUCUUUCCAGUCAUGGUUGGAUGACAAAUUGUAUGGUCAUGUAAGUUACAUAGUCAAAAUUAUGCACUGCAGUAUUUCUGAAAAAGAAAAUAGUUCUUUCCUUCAUUUUUGGUUUCCAUUAUUGUGAUAAGGACAGAACUAUGGGAAUUUCCACAGUAAUAUUCAAUGGUAUAACUGCUAACAAUGAUGUCUUACCAAUCACACCAUAGUUUGGUUUAUAAAUUAGAAUGUAGACCAAGCCUAUCUAUCAAAAAUUAUACUGAGACACUUUUAGUUUCAUAGUGAAAAGAAUUUAAACACAUGCAUCUAAAAAACUUAACCAUUUCUGAAAACAUUAUUAGGUUCUAUCUUUCAAAUGUUCACAAUAGAAUAUAUACUUCAUUGCACAUUUUUUCGUAUGGUAUCAUCCUGGGUCCUGAUAACACUGUCAUCUAUUACAGCAGCAAGCAAUAGUAAAAUAAUAAUGCCAUGAGUGCAAUGUUGAUUAGACACAUUAAACUCAGGAAAAUUCAAUCAAAUCUCAUCAAUUUCAAUAAUUUACCACCACACGUCCUUGUCUAUGGAUAAACAAUUUAAUUUUGAAUGAAGCGUUUGGAGAAAUUUCUGCUUCAGAACUAAAGUAGAGAUGAGAAGAACAGACUUCCUAUACUCAACUCAAAUGGAAAGAUAACCACAUAGUCCAAAAAGGUUCUAUGUUAAAUCUUGACCUACUAUGAGACUAACACUUUAAAAAAUUAAAUCUAUUCAAUUUGAUACUACAUUUUCAUUUACAACCUUGAUAUACAGAAAAAGAGAAAAAGGGAUGAUAUUACUCCUUGAAAAGAUGAUUUGCCAAUGGGAGACAUGGAUGGUUCAAACAAGGUCUUACUGUAUAGCACAGGAAAUGAUAUUUAAUAUCUUGGGAUAAACCAUAAUGGAAAGGAAUAUGAGAAAUAUAUAUAUAUGUAUAACUGAAUCACAUUACCAUACAGCAGAAAUUAACACAUUAUAAAUCAACUAUACUUCCAUAAAAUUUAAUUUAAAAAAGAGAAACCUUGUGGUUUCUUUACCAACCCUUGGCAUCAAAGUGGGCAAUGGAAUUGAUAAGGAUGGCUAAGAGUAGUAAUGGAUCCAAUCCCUUUCUUUGUGCCUAACUAACUUCAGCAUUAACAAAUAACAAGUCAGGAAGAUUUUAGGAAGAUAUAGUUAAGGUUUUUUUGGUCUUUUUAGGGCUGCACCUGUGGCAUGAGGAAGUUCCCAGGCUAGGGGUGAAAUCAGAGCUAUAGCCACUAGCCUAUGCCAGCAAUGAAAGAUCUGAGCCACAUGGGUGACCUACACUGCAGUUCACAGCAACACCGGAUCCUUAACCCACUGAGCAAGGCCAGGGAUUGAACCCACGUCCACAUGGAUACUAGUCAGGUUCAUUACUG
rnacentral:lncRNA from 1 species